GUUCUUUGGCUCUUGUGUGAGUGGAUGGUGACACCAGGCCAGCUGGGGAUUCUUCCCAGGCUGGGCUCACAGGCUGGGGCUGGGCACACGGAGCAGCUGCGGGAAAAGGAUCUGGACACCAGCCCCCCAGCGUGUCACCGGCAGGAAGGUGAGGUGGGAACAGAGUGACGUCCAUGCAUGUUCAGGACUAAGCCAGUGGAUCACAAACAUCCUGGAGAGCAGUGACUCUGUGAUUCCAUCACAAGAAUAUGAAGGACUGAGAAGAUCUCCAGCUCUGCCCAUUGCACCUUCCCAUUGAGAAGCAGCAUGGCACCCUGGUGGCAGGGGCUGAUACUCAGCCGGGCCAGGGUGCUCUCCUGUUAACCAUAACCAAGCUCACAGGACAUGGGAUGAGCCCACUGUGUGACACAGGGAGCGGGACACAGUCUGUUAAGUCUUGCACAGCCAUGCUCUGCCACGCAGGCAGGCCUUUCCUUGGCCUCCCUCUCCCUGUUCGUGCUCAUGUGAACAUCCACCUACGUGGAUAGACUGGGCUUUGGUUCAUUAUUGCUCUGUGAAUUCCUCGAACUUCCGCAUCUGCCCAACCUCCCCCACCCCAUUGUUUUCAUUGUGUUUCACCAAAUGGAAAUUCUAGAGUAAGCAUGUGAGUCCUCUCCCAAACUUGUUCACUGUUGAGAGUGCUAAAAUGCUAACCCCAGAUGCUAACUGAGGGGUAGGGUUACCUUAUCUUUAGAGCACUGCGAAUUGUAUGUUAAGUGGAACUUAAUGAAAAAAUAGUUAAUUGACCAACAUGAAUAUCCCCUGAACAGAAUCUCCCCUGAACAGAAUCCUACAAUGAAACUAAGGGAGAUAAAUAAAGCUGUUUACCUGAAAGCUCUCUCUAAUCAAGAUCCUUUGAAAUUUAUAAAACAUGGUCAAUAUUUGCACUGGACUUUGUAAAAAUAAAGCUUGAUAAGAGAAGAGUUUGAAGUGAAAUGCUGCCACUUUCUAUGCAAUAUUUGAUUUAAAUUUAAUUCCUAGAAACCUCAGAUGAAUGUGGUUCAUGUAUCAAAGCACUCAGCAUUAUUUAUCGCGGCCUUAAAUACACAGUGAGCUUACAUGUGAAUGAAUACAUAUAUUAUGUAUCUCUCUCUAUAUAUAUACUAUAUAGAUAAUAUAGUAUAUAUAUAUAUAUAGUGUAUAUAUACACUAUAUAUAUCGUGUAUACAUAUACUAUCUAUAUAGUAUAUAUGUAUAUGGUAUAUAUAUCUAUCUAUAGAUAGAUAGAUAGAUAUACUUAAAAAAACCCCAUUCCCUUAAGAGCAGUUAAGGGACACCAUAUAUCAAAUUUCUUGGCACGUUGUGAAUAUUAAUAUCCCCAAAGUGUCAAUGUCAAAUGAUUUGACUUGAAAUCACUAAGCUUGGUAAUCUCACUAUUUUUAAACAAGGCCUAACAUCUUUUAAUCUUGAAUACCAGCAAGUUCUCAGACUUCAGUUGUUUAUUUUCUCUUUUCUUUCCUUUAAAAAAUUCUGACAAGCUCUUUUCCUUGACACAAAGAAAGCGUAUAAAUUUUAUUUUGGUUUGAACAACAGAAAUUUGCCUCUCAGAAUUCUGGAGAUUGGAAAGUCUAAGGACUAAGCUGCUGGCCAAUUUAGUUCUUAGUGAGGACUCUCUUCCUGGCUUGUAGAUGGCUGCCUUCUCACUGCAUCCUCAGAGAGAGAGAGAGAGAGGGCUCUUGUGUCUCUUCCUUUCUCAUAAAGCGUCAGCUCUCUUGUAUUAGGGUCCCACCCAUAAUUACCCCCUUAUAUGCCCCAUCUACAAAUAGAGUCACAUUGUGGGUUAGAGCUUGGCAGUGAAUAAUUAUGGAGGUUAUUGUUGGCUUUAGAAUUUCGUGGUAGAAACAAUAAAUUGCCUUUGUGUUUA
rnacentral:lncRNA from 1 species